UACGUAGGGUGCAAGCGUUGUCCGGAAUUAUUGGGCGUAAAGAGCUCGUAGGCGGUCUGUCGCGUCGGCUGUGAAAACCCGGAGCUCAACUCCGGGCCUGCAGUCGAUACGGGCAGACUGGAGUUCGGCAGGGGAGACUGGAAUUCCUGGUGUAGCGGUGAAAUGCGCAGAUAUCAGGAGGAACACCAGUAGCGAAGGCGACACUCUGGGCCGGUACUGACGCUGAGGAGCGAAAGCGUGGGGAGCAAACAGG
rnacentral:rRNA from 1 species